rnacentral:rRNA from 1 species
CACACCGCCCGUCACACCAUGGGAGUUGGCAACACCCGAAGUCGGUGAGGUAACUCGCAAGAGAGCCAGCCGCCUAAGGCGGGGUCGAUGACUGGGGUG